GACGAACGCUGGCGGCGUGCCUAAUACAUGCAAGUAGAACGCUGAAGCGAGGAGCUUGCUCUUCUUGGGUGAGUUGCGAACGGGUGAGUAACGCGUAGGUAACCUGCCUUGUAGCGGGGGAUAACUAUUGGAAACGAUAGCUAAUACCGCAUAACAAUGGAUGACACAUGUCAUUUAUUUGAAAGGGGCAAUUGCUCCACUACAAGAUGGACCUGCGUUGUAUUAGCUAGUAGGUGAGUUAAUGGCUCACCUAGGCGACGAUACAUAGCCGACCUGAGAGGGUGAGCGGCCACACUGGGACUGAGACACGGCCCAGAGUCCUACGGGAGGGAGCAGUAGGGAAUCUUCGGCAAUGGGGGCAACCCUGACCGAGCAACGCCGCGUGAGUGAAGAAGGUUUUCGGAUCGUAAAGCUCGGUUGUAAGUCAAGAACGGGUGUGAGAGUGGAAAGUUCACACUGUGACGGUAGCUUACCAGAAAGGGACGGCUAACUACGUG
rnacentral:rRNA from 1 species